rnacentral:rRNA from 1 species
UACGUAGGGUGCAAGCGUUAAUCGGAAUUACUGGGCGUAAAGCGUGCGCAGGCGGUUUUGUAAGUCAGAUGUGAAAUCCCCGGGCUUAACCUGGGAACUGCGUUUGAAACUACAAGGCUAGAGUGUGGCAGAGGGGGGUGGAAUUCCACGUGUAGCAGUGAAAUGCGUAGAGAUGUGGAGGAACACCGAUUGCGAAGGCAGCCCCCUGGGUUAACACUGACGCUCAGGCACGAAAGCGUGGGGAGCAAACAGG